AUUGAACGCUGGCGGCAUGCCUUACACAUGCAAGUCGAACGGUAACGCGGGGCAACCUGGCGACGAGUGGCGAACGGGUGAGUAAUGCAUCGGAACGUGCCCAGUAGUGGGGGAUAGCCCGGCGAAAGCCGGAUUAAUACCGCAUACGACCUACGGGUGAAAGGGGGGGAUCGCAAGACCUCUCGCUAUUGGAGCGGCCGAGGUCAGAUUAGGUAGUUGGUGGGGUAAAGGCCUACCAAGCCAACGAACUGUAGCUGGUCUGAGAGGACGACCAGCCACACUGGGACUGAGACACGGCCCAGACUCCUACGGGAGGCAGCAGUGGGGAAUUUUGGACAAUGGGCGCAAGCCUGAUCCAGCCAUGCCGCGUGCGGGAAGGAGGCCUUCGGGUUGUAAACCGCUUUUGUCAGGGAAGAAACGCUCCGAGAUAAUACCUCGGGGUAAUGACGGUACCUGAAGAAUAAGCACCGGCUAACUACGUGCCAGCAGCCGCAGUAA
rnacentral:rRNA from 1 species